CACGUAGGGGGCAAGCGUUGUCCGGAAUUAUUGGGCGUAAAGAGCUCGUAGGCGGCUCGGUAAGUCAGGUGUCAAAUCCUCAGGCUCAACCUGGGGCUCCAUCUGAUACUGCUGUGGCUAGAGUCCGGUAGGGGAGCGUGGAAUUCCUGGUGUAGCGGUGAAAUGCGCAGAUAUCAGGAGGAACACCAGCGGCGAAGGCGGCGCUCUGGGCCGGAACUGACGCUGAGGAGCGAAAGCGUGGGUAGCAAACAGG
rnacentral:rRNA from 1 species